rnacentral:rRNA from 1 species
AGCAGCCGCCACGGUAAUACGAAGGGGGCUAGCGUUGUUCGGAAUUACUGGGCGUAAAGCGCACGUAGGCGGAUAUUUAAGUCAGGGGUGAAAUCCCAGAGCUCAACUCUGGAACUGCCUUUGAUACUGGGUAUCUUGAGUAUGGAAGAGGUGAGUGGAAUUCCGAGUGUAGAGGUGAAAUUCGUAGAUAUUCGGAGGAACACCAGUGGCGAAGGCGGCUCACUGGUCCAUUACUGACGCUGAGGUGCGAAAGCGUGGGGAGCAAACAGGAUUAGAUACCCCUGUAGUCCCUGUCUCUUAUAC